rnacentral:rRNA from 1 species
AUUGAACGCUGGCGGCAGGCCUAACACAUGCAAGUCGAGCGGAUGAAGGGAGCUUGCUCCUGGAUUCAGCGGCGGACGGGUGAGUAAUGCCUAGGAAUCUGCCUGGUAGUGGGGGAUAACGUCCGGAAACGGGCGCUAAUACCGCAUACGUCCUGAGGGAGAAAGUGGGGGAUCUUCGGACCUCACGCUAUCAGAUGAGCCUAGGUCGGAUUAGCUAGUUGGUGGGGUAAAGGCCUACCAAGGCGACGAUCCGUAACUGGUCUGAGAGGAUGAUCAGUCACGCUGGAACUGAGACACGGUCCAGACUCCUACGGGAGGCAGCAGUGGGGAAUAUUGGACAAUGGGCGAAAGCCUGAUCCAGCCAUGCCGCGUGUGUGAAGAAGGUCUUCGGAUUGUAAAGCACUUUAAGUUGGGAGGAAGGGCAGCAAGUUAAUACCUUGCUGUUUUGACGUUACCAACAGAAUAAGCACCGGCUAACUUCGUG